rnacentral:rRNA from 1 species
AUACGGAGGGUGCGAGCGUUGUUCGGAAUUAUUGGGCGUAAAGAGCAUGUAGGCGGUCUGUUAAGUCUGGUGUGAAAGCCCGGGGCUCAACCCCGGAAGUGCAUUGGAUACUGGUAGACUUGAGUAUGGGAGAGGAAAGCGGAAUUCCGAGUGUAGGAGUGAAAUCCGUAGAUAUUCGGAGGAACACCAGUGGCGAAGGCGGCUUUCUGGACCAAUACUGACGCUGAGAUGCGAAAGCGUGGGGAGCAAACAGGAUUAGAAACCCGUGUAGUCC